AGGACGACACGUGUGUGAUCAGGGUCAGCGGGCGGGCGCGGCUUCCUUAGCGGCGCCUCCCGGCCCGGGCCGCACGCGAACGCGCUUCGGGGGAGCGCGUACCCUGCACGCGCAGGGCCGCCCGGAGGGCCCGGAGGGAGCUGUAAGGCGCCUCAGUGGCUCCCACAGGACGCAGGUCCUGUCUGCAGCCGCCAAGGUCAAGGGCUGUGGUUUGAGACUGCUUGCAGCUGCUUCCUGUCCCCCCUGCGCUGAGGGACAGAAGUUAAAAAACUUGUCAGUGACCUUCGUUUCUUCAGUGUGAUCGCUAGACUCCCAGCUCUCAAUUUGAUUAUUUCCUGCCAUCUAAUCCUCCUGGUUGUGAAGAUCAUGUGAGGGCCAUGUGAGAACCAUGUGAAGACCAUGUGAAGAUGAUGUGAAGACCAGGUGCAGAUCACAUGAAGGCCAUGUAAAGACUAUAUGAAGAACAUGUGAAAACGAUGUGAAGACCACAAUCUCUUGUUCAUGGACACCUGCAGUUUCUCCAAAGUCAUUUAUCAUUGUUUUCUCAAUAAUAAACCCUUGAUUUAUAUGAAACUGAAA